GGACACCUGCGUGUACGACCUGUGGGGGCAGAACCAGAGCCAUGGCAGAACAGGUCAAAGGCAGAACAAGUCAAUGGCAGACUACUAUUGCUUACUUAAUAAGUAGUAGAGAUAUCUCUAUUAUAUCAUAGCAAUAGUUUUCAUGGUUUCACGGUUUUCGUUAUUGUUAUGCUCUCCCAUAGGUCUGGAAACGAGCCGAGUCGAGCUAGGUUCGCUCGGCUCGUCCAAUGCACGAGCUCAAGAAUGAGGCCUGAUUAAUAUUAUUGUAUUAUAAAAUAACUAAUAUAUAUAUAUAUAUAAAUGUAUAAUAUAAAAGCAUCAUUCAAUAUUAUGAGUAAUAUAAAUUAUAAAAUAUCGUAAAUUCAUCAUAAAAAAAUAAAAUGAUCCUAUCAUCCAUAGAAUUAUUCAAUAUCCAUUGUUAUUUUAUA
rnacentral:lncRNA from 7 species